UCGUCACACUAUCAUUAACUGAAUCCAUAGGUUAAUGAGGCGAACCGGGGGAACUGAAACAUCUAAGUACCCCGAGGAAAAGAAAUCAACCGAGAUUCCCCCAGUAGCGGCGAGCGAACGGGGAGGAGCCCAGAGCCUGAAUCAGCAUGUGUGUUAGUGGAAGCGUCUGGAAAGGCGCGCGAUACAGGGUGACAGCCCCGUACACAAAAGCGCAUGUGCUGUGAGCUCGAUGAGUAGGGCGGGACACGUGGUAUCCUGUCUGAAUAUGGGGGGACCAUCCUCCAAGGCUAAAUACUCCUGACUGACCGAUAGUGAACCAGUACCGUGAGGGAAAGGCGAAAAGAACCCCGGCGAGGGGAGUGAAAAAGAACCUGAAACCGUGUACGUACAAGCAGUGGGAGCACAGGUUUACCUGUGUGACUGCGUACCUUUUGUAUAAUGGGUCAGCGACUUAUAUUCUGUAGCAAGGUUAACCGAAUAGGGGAGCCGGAGGGAAACCGAGUCUUAAUUGGGCGUUAAGUUGCAGGGUAUAGACCCGAAACCCGGUGAUCUAGCCAUGGGCAGGUUGAAGGUUGGGUAACACUAACUGGAGGACCGAACCGACUAAUGUUGAAAAAUUAGCGGAUGACCUGUGGCUGGGGGUGAAAGGCCAAUCAAACCGGGAGAUAGCUGGUUCUCCCCGAAAGCUAUUUAGGUAGCGCCUCGUGAA
rnacentral:rRNA from 1 species